CAGCCGCCGCGGUAAUACGGAGGGUGCAAGCGUUAAUCGGAAUUACUGGGCGUAAAGCGCACGCAGGCGGUUUGUUAAGUCAGAUGUGAAAUCCCCGAGCUUAACUUGGGAACUGCAUUUGAAACUGGCAAGCUAGAGUCUUGUAGAGGGGGGUAGAAUUCCAGGUGUAGCGGUGAAAUGCGUAGAGAUCUGGAGGAACACCGGUGGCGAAGGCGGCCCCCUGGACAAAGACUGACGCUCAGGUGCGAAAGCGUGGGGAGCAAACAGGAUUAGAUACCCGUGUAGUCCCUGUCUCUUAUAC
rnacentral:rRNA from 1 species